CAGCAGCCACGGUAAUACAGAGGGUGCAAGCGUUAUCCGGAUUCACUGGGUUUAAAGGGUGCGUAGGCGGAUCUGUAAGUCCGUGGUGAAAUCUCCAGGCUUAACCUGGAAACUGCCAUGGAUACUAUAGAUCUUGAAUGUCGUGGAGGUUAGCGGAAUAUGUCAUGUAGCGGUGAAAUGCAUAGAUAUGACAUAGAACACCAAUUGCGAAGGCAGCUGGCUACACAAAUAUUGACGCUGAGGCACGAAAGCGUGGGGAUCAAACAGGAUUAGAUACCCCCGUAGUCCCUGUCUCUUAUAC
rnacentral:rRNA from 1 species